rnacentral:rRNA from 1 species
GACGAACGCUGGCGGCGUGCUUAACACAUGCAAGUCGAACGGAAAGGCCCUGCUUUUGUGGGGUGCUCGAGUGGCGAACGGGUGAGUAACACGUGAGUAACCUGCCCUUGACUUUGGGAUAACUUCAGGAAACUGGGGCUAAUACCGGAUAGGAGCUCCUGCUGCAUGGUGGGGGUUGGAAAGUUUCGGCGGUUGGGGAUGGACUCGCGGCUUAUCAGCUUGUUGGUGGGGUAGUGGCUUACCAAGGCUUUGACGGGUAGCCGGCCUGAGCGGGUGACCGGCCACCUUGGGCCUGAGAUACGGCCCAGACUCCUACGGGAGGCAGCAGUGGGGAAUAUUGCACAAUGGGCGGAAGCCUGAUGCAGCAACGCCGCGUGCGGGAUGACGGCCUUCGGGUUGUAAACCGCUUUCGCCUGUGACGAAGCGUGAGUGACGGUAAUGGGUAAAGAAGCACCGGCUAACUACGUG